rnacentral:lncRNA from 1 species
ACCCUUACAUGAAUUCCACCUAAAUCUCGAAAAGAAAUCUAGCCUAAGGUAGACCAAAUCUUCUAUUAACCUUAAAUUAUGCAUUCAACAACAAGCUAUGUGCAUCCAACUAGAUAAUGCAUACUAGAGUUUCAUGAAAUUAAGGUAAACUAUUUUAUUUUUUUGAGAAAGGUAACGUUACUUCUAUAUAUCCACAGGUAUACUACACCAACAGGUAUAGUUCCCCAACAAAAGUAUUACAACUUACAUCUUGUGGUUCAACUUAUCUUUACAAAAAGUCUAAAACAUCAAAAAUAUCUUCUGUUUGAGCUAAUAGUUUUUGCUCACACCAAAAAUAAAAUAGGCCUAAGCAAUUCAUCUUAAGAAUCUGUAAGCUGCUUUGUACUCCUUCAAAACACCUCUUUUUCCUCUCGAUCCAGACUGACCACCAAAUACAAGCCGGGACAAUCUUCCAUCUCUCGUCCUUCUUACUUACCAUGCCAUCCUUGUUCCAGCAUCUAAGGACACCUGCUACGCUUCCAGGUUUCACCCAUCUGAUCCCUUUUAGGCAUAUAAACAUCCUCCAUAGUUGAUCUGUCCACUUGCAAUGCAAUUAAUUACUGCUUCUGCACUGUUAAGGUAAACUAUAACAGUGCAGAAGCAGUAAUUAACAGAGAUCAGCAAGUUGUGUAUACGAAAAAUUUAAGCAAAAGUAACAAGAAUUGCAGAUUAGAAAAUAGUGCCUGGGCCAAGAGACAUAUCAAGGACUGCAUUUGGUUUGUUCAACCUGAGUCACUGAGAAGUGCUAAUGACUUGUUCCUGACCAUACCCAAAAACUGAGAAGGUUGAAAAUGGGAAGCUCACUCCUUUAAUGGACAAAUACAUAGACAGCCCCUUAAAGUUGUCAUCUCUUUUCAUGUAGACACCUCAACUGAAGUAUUCACCUAUUAGACACUUCAGCCUCAGUCAAUGUGUGCAUAUUAAGCACAGUGUGCUGAUAUGGCAUGCUGCAUUUUACCCCUUUCUGUAGUGCACUAAGGGCCUAUUUGGAUGGGAUUAUAAAAAGUAACUUAUAAGUCAAAGUUAAAAGUCAUAAGUAGAUGUGUUAUGGACGGCGAAAGGCAACAAGGUUCUGGUGAGGCGCUCGCCUUUUUGAAGUGUGGUGCCAAUUAAUACCAAAAUUUAAAAUAUUUAUUUGUGUAUAUAAAUAAUCAAAUCUCAAUAGCAAUAACAAAUUAGCCAAUAUUUCAAUUCAAAAAUUGAAAAUAGAUAGUACAUACUAAAAGUCUAGAACUUGAAUGAAAAAAAAAAGAACAGAAGUCAAAACACAGAGAAAAAAACAAGGUAGAAGUACUCUUAAGUCUGAAAAAGAAGGAAAAAGAAACAAAGGAAGAAGAAAUUUGAAGAAGAAGAAAAGAAGAAAUAUGUAUUGAUUGGAC